AGUGAACGCUGGCGGUAGGCCUAACACAUGCAAGUCGAACGGCAGCACAGUAAGAGCUUGCUCUUACGGGUGGCGAGUGGCGGACGGGUGAGGAAUACAUCGGAAUCUACUUUUUCGUGGGGGAUAACGUAGGGAAACUACGCUAAUACCGCAUACGACCUACGGGUGAAAGCAGGGGAUCUUCGGACCUUGCGCGAUUGAAUGAGCCGAUGUCGGAUUAGCUAGUUGGCGGGGUAAAGGCCCACCAAGGCGACGAUCCGUAGCUGGUCUGAGAGGAUGAUCAGCCACACUGGAACUGAGACACGGUCCAGACUCCUACGGGAGGCAGCAGUGGGGAAUAUUGGACAAUGGGCGCAAGCCUGAUCCAGCCAUACCGCGUGGGUGAAGAAGGCCUUCGGGUUGUAAAGCCCUCUUGUUGGGAAAGAAAAGCAGCAGGUUAAUACCCCGCUGUUCUGACGGUACCCAAAGAAUAAGCACCGGCUAACUUCGUG
rnacentral:rRNA from 1 species